CACCAGCAGGAAGCAACAUGGCAAGUCUGCAUACCAGAAUAGUCCCUACAAUGGGGAGGGUGAAUGUGAAGGGAUGCAGGACCAAAGUGGCGGAGGAGCUAGGAGCCUAUUGCGGUAAUUCAGGCGAGAGACGAUAAAGGCUUUCGCUUGGAUUUGAGAUUACGGUAUCAAGGCCAGGGGCUCCUUUGGUCCUAAGGGACAGAGACUCACUCCCAACUCCGGGGAAAAGGUAGAUAGCAGGAAGCCUCAGAGAAGCCCCAGAGCGGGGAUCCAGGCAGGCAUCCCAGAAACCAGGAUUGGAACUGGGAAACCUCAUCUCUAAGCUUUCUCUCUCAGCAUCUCUGCUCCUUGCACCUCUGCUCCGUUGUCUUCUGUUGACCGUUGCACUUCCUGGGUUACUCACGGUUUCUGCUUUCCCGUAACUUCUCCUCGUGUGAGGGCCCAAGAACAAUCUCCACCCUAACGCCGCCUGAACUUCCACCUUCCGGGAUCACCACCAGCUGCCUUCUUCCCUCUGUGCCACUUGAUUCCAAUUUCCGAGACAGAGUCUGAGUGGCUCUGCUCAUCCUUUUGAUCCGGGUCAGGCAAAUGCUAGGCCAAGGGCCAGGCCACGGAUGAGGGUUGAGGCUGGUCCACAGCUAGGGAAUUUGGCCAUGUGAGGUAGCUGGGUUCUGAUCAGGGAGUCUCCUUGCAGACCUGAAAUAUGUGUCAUAUAGUAGGCCAGAGGGGAAAGGAUAAAUUUAAAAUUUAUGACGCAAUAAAAUCAGCUUUAUUAGGUAAUUGUCUGAAUGUGGGAGGUGAGUGGAGUGGAGGUAAGCAUGACCGGCAGGGGCCGGCUCGGGUAACUGGAUGAUCUCUCAGCUGCGCUUUCCUCCAUGUUGGUGCUGUUUCUUGGUUCUCAGGAAGCUUCACUUAAUUCAGUCAGGGUCUCAGCAGAAAACGGAUGGCUGUCUCACACUGGGAAACGUGAGGAGGGUUUAACAAGAGGACGGAGGAACAUGGUAUAAGUGCCAACCCCAACAGGAAGACAGAGAUCAAGGAAGCCCAUUGAUGUAUUCUACGUAGUCAGUCCUCUCACUAAUCAGAGCUGGAAGGGGCCACUACUUGCCGAUAACCUCUACGUAAAAAACCACAGAAUUGAAAUGCAAUUGUUCUAAUUUGCCUUGGGUAGGUCAAGUCUCCAUCUCUGCACCAAUCACUGUAGCAGAAGGUGAUAGGGCGCUCUGACUGGCUAAGAAAGAAGCUGAGGGCAGAGUCGGCUCUGAUUCAACGUCUCAGCUAAGACCCGGAAAGCAAAUCUCCUAGGAAAAUCACUGUGUUGUUAACUGACCAGAUAAAAAGAACAGAUGUCCCCUACUGCCCAUAACGGGGCUCGUCGAGGACUUUUGAGUGGGGGUUUGCUGUUUCUGCUGGACGCAUUGGAGGGAAGAGACCAGAGUGCACUGGUGAAUGGGUCAGCCCAGCCAUAAGGGAUGGAGCUGCCUCUCUCCAGGCCUCAGUUUCCUAGCAGGGACGAAUCUUAACCUUCUGAGGCUAUAGCGCUCACCAGCAAGUUGUUAACAAACAAGUCCAGCCUUCUCAUCAAGAGCGCAGACCCCGCGUCGCCAGUAAAGACCACCCAGCCUUGUUUUCUGAAAUCUUUCCUUACAGUUCGACCUAGACGAGACCUCUCUGGACCCACUGAAGUUUGCUGGAAGGUGCCACCUAGUGGAACAUCAGAUGACCUGCCGCUUAGACAAAAAGAAACCUCAGGAAGGUUUUACAACGGAAAGCCGUCCAGCAGUGGUUCCCUCAAACUUGGCUGCAGCCACCCGGGGAUGGUGGAGUCCCUACCCUCCGAGGAUCUGAACCGGAGAAAUCCCGGGCCACCGAAGGGGAGCUCGGGAACUGAACCACUAGGCCACCAGCCAGCCUGCAUCCAGAGUUUUAAAAGGAGCUGAAAUGCCACUAAAUGCGCACACUGGCCUAAACCACCUGAGUGGUGUUCCGUGUCUGGCUCCCUUUCUCCCAUCCUACCCUGCAAGAUUGGGUCCGGUUCCAGAAUUUUGGAAUUAAAAAAGACCUCAAAGAGCAUCUGGUUCAACUGCUUUAUUUAACGCAACCAUAAUCUAUGUUUACCUAGACAUCUCUAAUUCCUGCUACCACAUGCACUCAUGGACUCAUACAUCAUAAACCUGAUGAGAAUUUGAGCAACCUGCCUGAAGCCACAGAGGAAAUUAAGGGCAAAGUCUGCACUGAUCCAGGCUGAUUAGAGCCAGUUGGGGAAAUUUCAGCUCCAGGACUUUUGUUCUCUUCCUCUAUAGUAGAAGUCUGAGCCUUGUUAAAUGGCCAACCUGGUAGAGAUAGCAAUUUGGGUCGUUGACGCCAGUGUUAAUGAGUUUCCUGAGUGCAGGUUUUAAAGAGGUGAGUGCUUGAUUGAUUGAUUCAUUCAUUCAUUCAUUCAUUUCCCAAAUGUUUGUUGAGGACCUGUUUUGGGCCAGGCACUGUAUUAGGCAUUGAGGAUAUGCUGGAGAAAACAAACAAACAAACAGACAGACAAAACCCAAUGGUCUCUGUCCUUAUGAGGCUUAUGGUCCAUUGGAGGAGACAGAUAUCAAAGAAUCACCCAGUAACUGUAAACAUGGUGACUGGCAAGGAAAGGCACUGCUAAGGUGUCACAUAACUGGGGAGCUUAGGCUGUUCAGGUAGGUCAGGCAGGCUUUGCUGAAAAUGUAUGAUGAUCUUGACGAUCUCCAAGGAGAGGAGGAGCAAGAAGGCUUCAGGCUUGUAGCAGACACAGAAGUCCAACACCCGUAGCUUCUUGGUUUUCGCUUAGGGUCGAGCAGACCUCACCAGCCUGGAAAUUAUAUCAUUACAGAGUCAUGAUUAUCCCCAUUUCACAGAUGAGGACAUUGAGACUCAAAGCAGCUAAGGGACUUGGCAAGGUUAA
rnacentral:lncRNA from 1 species